GUCUACUUCCGGAUAUAUUGGCCUCAAAAUGCUAGCACAGAAUGACUGUGGAAUGACAGAAUAAAGAUCUUUAUUCGGUAAUACUAGUAAACCAGAUUGACCAGAGCAGAUUGACCAAAUUAAAUCAACACUGAAAGAUGGAGACACAUCAGUUAUUGUAAAAAUUCCCCUCAAUAAAAUAGUGAGUAAAUAUAUAUAUUAUAUAUACUGAUCCAUCUAUACUUUGUUCAUUAAAUAGCAAAAACAGUUUACUGAAUUACUGUAUAAAUAUAAACUAUAUAUAAAUUUAUAAAUUAUUAUAUACAAGUCUUUACCUGUAUUAGUUGAAGCAGGGGGUUGAAUAUUAUAAGCUUUGUUGGUUUACAACAUACUGCCAUAAGCAUACAGGCCUCAUACAUUCAAGAGGGGGAGGGGGCACUUGAAAGUUUGCCCAAAUUUUUGUCAAUAUUGAAAUGAAAUUACCAAAAUUUAAUGUAUUUUCUUCAUUUUCCUAGCAUUUGCCCGAAUGUCCAUGGUUUUCCAAUUUUUUUUUUUGGGGGGGUGUGGGGCAGUUGCCAUUUGCCCCCCUGUCUCGUACGCUUAUGCAUGGCUGCCCUUAAUGGACAGUGCACAGGGGAUCUAACCCCGUAACCAGUCGUAAUUGGUCCCGAAGCACGGACACUGUUUUUUGUUUUGGUUUUCAUUUUAGUGUGUUUUGUGUGCACAUGUUUGCAUCAAUAAAUGUUGGUUUUUAUAUUGGAAUUUUAUAUUUGUAGCAUGUUGUAUGUCAAAGCCAAUCAGAAAAGGGUGUAAAUAUAGAGAGGGAAACCGGGCAACCCGGAGGAAAACCCUCUCUCAUGCAAUCAAGGACCACAGACACAGCUGACGACUUUUAUUUUAAAUAAAAAUAUUUACAAGUUUUAUAGAGAAGAUUAACAGAUUAACCUAAAAGAAAAAAAUCUAUAAAAGAGAGAAAACAUGUAUACAAGUUAGUGAACCUAAAAAGGAAGAAUUAUGAAAACCUUAAAAAAGGAGAAAAAGAAAGAAUAUAAUAUAUUAGUGAAUAUGCAUAAAAAUUAAAAAAACCCUAAAAAAUGAGAAAAAGAAAGUAUAUAAUAUGUUAGCAAAAAUAAAAAGUAAGAAAUCUGUAAGUUGAUUCAUCUAAAAAAAAGAGAAAAAUGGAAUAUCAGUAUGGAUAAAAAUUUAUUAAACAUUAAGAAAUAUACGUACAGCUAAGACUCAAGUGUAACUGUCAGAAGGAAAAGACCACAGAAUUUUGUGAAAGAAAGGAAUGAACAGGUGGUUUCAGAAGUGCAAACACACUACAACCAAGUUAUUGCUCGAUCUGUAUUUAAAUAUUACAUUCAAUUGAAUUAUAUAUUUACAUUCUGUACUUUCUACUUGACCCGAAACUACAAUUAAUACUAUAACUAACAAUUCGCC